UAUCUCCCAAUGCCAUCCCUCCCCCCUCCCCCCACCCCACAACAGUCCCCAGAGUGUGAUGUUCCCCUUCCUGUGUCCAUGUGUUCUCAUUGUUCAAUUCCCACCUAUGAGUGAGAAUAUGCGGUGUUUGGUUUUUUGUUCUUGCGAUAGUUUACUGAGAAUGAUGAUUUCCAAUUUCAUCCAUGUCCCUACAAAGGACAUGAACUCAUCAUUUUUUAUGGCUGCAUAGUAUUCCAUGGUGUAUAUGAGCCACAUUUUCUUAAUCCAGUCUAUCGUUGUUGGACAUUUGGGUUGGUUCCAAGUCUUUGCUAUUGUGAAUAAUGCCGCAAUAAACAUACGUGUGCAUGUGUCUUUAUAGCAGCAUGAUUUAUAGUCCUUUGGGUAUAUACCCAGUAAUGGGAUGGCUGGGUCAAAUGUCUCCUGUUUUUCUUUCCACAGCUCUUCCCUCACAGCAUGUAAACAUAUAUAAAUACCUACCACAUUCUCAAACUCCUGACCUCAAGUGAUCCUCCUGCCUCGGCCUCCCAAAGUGCUGGGAUUACAGGCGUGAGCCACUAUGCCGGGCCCCUGAAAGUUUUUUUUAAGGGCUGCAUAGUCUAAUUGUAUUUGUUUUUCACUUUCAGUAUUCUUUAAAGUUACGUUAUGAUCACCCAAAUGAAUACUGUCUAAUCAUCUAUUCAAAACUUAUUAUGAAAUGGUUAUUUCAUAAUAAAUUUUGCUGUCAGGACAGCAGCAGUCAAGGUGUAUAAGUCAUUUACACUGCACGUUAGACAAACAACAGUGUGGAAGGGAGAGUCAGGGAGAGAUGCUGGUCAGAAUCCAGGCAGUCAGGUCCCAACACU
rnacentral:lncRNA from 10 species